rnacentral:rRNA from 1 species
AGUUUGAUUAAAAAAUAAGAUGAACGCUGGCAGGAUGCUUUACACAUGCAAGUCAGACAACCGGCACGGACUGGUCUGGUGGCGAGUGGCAAACGAAUUUAGUAAUGUAUCCGGAACGAUGCCCCUGGCUGGCGGGGGAUAUGCGCGAAGCGUAGCUAAUACCGCAUACGCCCGCGAAGCGGGGACCUUCAGGCCUCGCACUAUUAGAGCGGCCGAUAUCGGAUUAGCUGGUUAGUGGGAGUAACGGCUCACCAAGGCGACAGUCCAUGUCGCUGGUUGAAGGACGACCAGCCGCACUGGGACUGAGACUACGGCAGACUCCUACGGGAGGCAGCAGUGAAAUUUUGGACAAUGGGGAAACCCUGAUCCAGCCAUCCCGCGUGUGCGAUGAAGGCCUUCAGGUUGCUAAGCCUUUUGGCAGGAAAAACGGCACAGGAUAAUACCCCGUGCAACUGACGAAACACCUGCAGAAUAAGCACCGGCUAACUACGUGCCAACAGCCGCGGUAAUACGUAGGGUGCAAGCGUUAAUCGGAAUUACUGGGCGUAAAGCAUUGCGCAGGCGACGGCGGUUCGGAAAGAAGAUGUGAAAUCCCAGAGCUUAACUUUGGAACUGCAUUUUUAACUACCGAGCUAGAGUGUGUCAGAGGAGGUGGAAUUCCGCGUGUAGCAGUGAAAUGCGUAGAUAUGCGGAGGAACACCUGAUGGCGAAGGCAGCCUCCUGGGAUAACGACACAACUCAUGCGAAAAGCACGUGGGGAGCAAACAGGAUUGAAUGCCCUGGUAGUCACGCCUAAACGAUGUCAACUGGCUGUUGGGGCCUUCGGGCCUUGGUAGCGCAACUAACGCGUAAGUUGACCGCCUGGGGAGUACGGUCGCAAGAUUAAAACUCAAAGGAAUUGACGGGGACCCCAAGCGUGGAUGAUGGAUUAAUUCGGUACAGCAUGAAAAACCUUACCUACCCUUGACAUGGAAUCCCGAAGAGAUUUGGGAGUGCUUUCCGCAAGAGAGAACCGGAAUUUUGAGUGCUGCAUGGCUGUCGUGUCGUGUCGUGAGAUGUUGGGUCGAUCCGCAACAGGCGCAACCCUUGUCAUUAGUUGCUACGAAAGAACUCUAUUAGGGGACUGCCGGUGACCAAACCGAGAAGGUGGGGAUGACGUCAAGUCCCCAUGGCCCGCUAUGGGUAGAGCUACACAUGUGUUCAAGGGACAGAGGGUCGCCAACCCACGGUGUCCCGAAACUUGAUCGUGAUCCGGAUCGCAGUCUGCAGCUCGACUGCGUGAAGUCGGAAUCGCUGAUAAUCAGCGGAUCGGCAUGUCGCGGUGAAUACGUUCCCGGGUCUUGUACACCGCCCGUCACACCAUGGGAGUGGGUUUCCAGAAGUAGAUUAGCCUAACCGUAAGGAGAAGGCGAUUGCCACGGUAGGAUUCAUGACUGAGGUGGAGAAUCCUUUGGGUAA